CCUACGGGAGGCAGCAGUGGGGAAUAUUGCACAAUGGGGGAAACCCUGAUGCAGCGACGCCGCGUGAGCGAUGAAGUAUUUCGGUAUGUAAAGCUCUAUCAGCAGGGAAGAAGAUGACGGUACCUGCCUAAGCAGCCCCGGCUAACUACGUGCCAGCAGCCGCGGUAAUACGUAGGGGGCAAGCGUUAUCCGGAUUUACUGGGUGUAACGGGAGCGUAGACGGCGAUGCAAGCCAGAUGUGAAAGCCCGGGGCUCAACCCCGGGACUGCAUUUGGAACUGUGUGGCUGGAGUGUCGGAGAGGCAGGCGGAAUUCCUAGUGUAGCGGUGAAAUGCGUAGAUAUUAGGAGGAACACCAGUGGCGAAGGCGGCCUGCUGGACGAUGACUGACGUUGAGGCUCGAAAGCGUGGGGAGCAAACAGGAUUAGAUACCCUAGUAGUC
rnacentral:rRNA from 1 species